rnacentral:lncRNA from 1 species
GUAGUGGUAGGUAGGUGCUGGAGCUUUCACUGGAGGUGGGGGUGAUUUGUAGUAGUAUGGUAGAGGUGGUGAAGGAGAUGGUGGUGGUGGGGAUUUGUAGUAGUAUGGUGGAGGUGGAGAGUGGACUGGUGGUGGUGGGGAUUUGUAGUAGUAUGGUGGGGGUGGAGAGUGGACUGGUGGUGGUGGGGACUUGUAAUAGUAUGGUGGAGGUGGUGAGGGAGAAGGUGGUGGUGGAGACUUGUAGUAGUAUGGUGGUGGGGACUUGUAAUAGUAUGGUGGAGGAGAUGGCGAUGGUGGUGGAGGAGAUUUGUAGAUGUAUGGGGGCUCCUCUACGUGUUUUGGUGGUGGUGGGGACUUGUAAUAGUAUGGUGGAGGUGGUGAGGGAGAAGGUGGUGGUGGAGACUUGUAGUAGUAUGGUGGUGGUGGGGAAUGAACUGGUGGUGGUGGGGACUUGUAAUAGUAUGGUGGUGGAGGAGAUGGCGAUGGUGGUGGAGGAGAUUUGUAGAUGUAUGGGGGCUUCUCUACGUGUUUUGGUGGUGGUGGAGACUUGUAAUAGUAUGGUGGAGGUGGUGAGGGAGAAGGUGGUGGUGGAGACUUGUAGUAGUAUGGUGGGGGUGGGGAGUGGACUGGUGGUGGUGGAGACUUGUAGUAGUAUGGUGGUGGUGGAGAAUGAACUGGUGGUGGUGGGGACUUGUAAUAGUAUGGUGGUGGAGGAGAUGGCGAUGGUGGUGGAGGAGAUUUGUAGAUGUAUGGGGGCUCCUCUACAUGUUUCGGUGGUGGUGGGGACUUGUAGUAGUAUGGUGGAGGAGAUGGUGAUGGUGGUGGAGGAGAUUUGUAAUAGUAUGGUGGAGGAGGAGAUGGCGAUGGUGGUGGGGGAGACUUGUAGUAGUAUGGGGGCUCCUCUACAUGUUUCGGCGGUGGUGGGGACUUGUAGUAGUAUGGUGGAUGAGGAGAUGGCGAUGGUGGUGGGGGUGAUUUGUAAUAGUAUGGUGGGGGUGGUGAUGGAGAUGGUGGUGGUGGGGACUUGUAGUAGUAUGGUGGAGGAGGAGAUGGUGAUGGUGGUGGAGGAGAUUUGUAGUAGUAUGGGGGCUCUUCUACAUGUUUUGGUGGUGGUGGGGAUUUGUAGUAAUAUGGUGGUGGAGGAGAUGGCGAUGGUGGAGGAGGAGAUUUGUAGUAGUAUGGAGGUUGCUCCUCAUGUUUUGGUGGUGGUGGGGACUUGUAGUAGUAUGGUGGUGGUGGAGAGUGAACUGGUGGUGGUGGGGACUUGUAAUAGUAUGGUGGAGGAGGAGAUGGUGAUGGUGGUGGAGGAGACUUGUAGUAGUACGGGGGCUGCUCUACAUGCUUUGGUGGUGGUGGAGACUUGUAGACAUAAGUGGGAGGUGGUGGUGAUUUGUAGUAGUACACAGGUGGUGGAGGUGACUUGUAAACAUAAGUCGGCGAUGGUGGAGGUGGUGACUUGUAAACAUAAGUGGGAGCCGGUGGAGGUGGAGACUUAUAGUAGUAUGGAGGUUGUUCCACAUGUUUUGGUGGUGGUGGAGACUUGUAGUAGUACACAGGAGGUGGAGGUGACUUGUAAACAUAAGUGGGAGCCGGUGGAGGUGGAGACUUAUAGUAGUAUGGAGGCUGUUCCACAUGCUUUGGUGGUGGUGGAGACUUGUAGUAGUACGCAGGAGGUGGAGGUGACUUGUAAACAUAAGUUGGUGAUGGUGGAGGUGGUGACUUGUAAACAUAAGUGGGAGCCGGUGGAGGUGGAGACUUAUAAUAGUACGGUGGUGGCUUGUACGGAUGAGUCGGAGGCUUAGGAGUGUACUUUUCACACUUCUUGUAAGGUUUCUUUGAACCAUAACCAAAUGGCUUAGCUCUAAGCACAACCUCGUACUUGUCCUCUGACUUGACCUUGAGCACAGCACCCUCGAUGCCAUCAUGUACACUCAUGGGUAUGUUGCAUGAUGAACCCUUAGGUGGGGCAUGAAGCUUGGCAAUGCAUGCUUUGGCUCCAUAUUUGCCAUAAUCAAACCCAUCAACAGUGACAGCAAAUUUGCCAUUGUUUUUGGUCUUUCCAUAGACAGUGAUUUCCUUUUCACCCUCGUUGCAAGUCACUUCCACAGUAGCACCUGCUCCAUGUGCAAUAAUUGAAAAUUUAAUUUCUUUUUUGCUAAAAAGUCAAUCAAAAGAUGCUUUUUUCUAUUUAGACAUCAACCAUUUUAUAACUAAUUCUGUCUUCCCAAGAAUUCAUUUAAUCAUAAUUAUAAAAAAAAAAAACAAUUUUUCCAUAGACAUGACUUAUGUGUUCACUACUUAUAUUGACUUGUGCAUCCAUAUAUGGUGCAGCCCUUAAUAAGGAAAGCUAUAAUUUUAGAGUAAUUUAUAACAAUAGUUUUUAUCAUUAAAUUAUUAUGAAUUGAAUAUUAAAUUAUAUAAAAUCUUACAUAGACAGAGAAUACAGUCAUAAUUUAUUUUCAAGCAUAUAAGAAACAAAAACAGACUUUGUUUAUUUUUAUAAUCUAUUUUUUAAUUUUUUUUAAAAUUUCCAGAAGAAUAACUUCAGAUUCCUUUAAUUAUUAUGUUUACGUCUAUUUGAAUUAAAAUAUUCAUAAACAUCUUAUUUUAACCUCUAAAUCACAUGACAAAGUUCCACAAAAAUUUGAAACUAUGAAAUAAAUAAAACAUACGAAAUUGAAAAUAAAUAAAUUAAUAAAUGCAUUAAUGUAUGAAUUAAUUUACCUUCGAGAUGUUUCUUGCCGUGUGAUUUCUCUGGGUAGCUUGAGUCAUAGCAUCUGUAGCAGUAAACUUUUCCGACCACCCUGACUAUGAGCGGGUGUGGGUGGGGGUGGGGGUGGGGGUGAGGGUGGGGGUGGGGGUAGUAAGGAGUUGGUGGUGGAGGAGAAUGGUAGUAGUAGGGAGGAGACUUCAUUGGUGGUGGUGGAGAUUUGUAGUAGUAUGGUGGUGAGACGUAAUGUGGGGGUGGUGGUGGAGAUUUGUAGUAGUAAGGUGGUGGAGGAGAUGGUGAAGGUGGUGGUGGAGACUUGUAGUAGUAAGGUGGUGGUGGUGAGGGUGAUGGAGGUGGUGGAGACUUGUAGUAGUAUGGGGGUUGUUCUUCAUGCUUUGGUGGUGGUGGUGGGGACUUGUAGUAGUAAGGAGGUGGUGGAGAUGGUGAAGGUGGUGGUGGAGAUUUAUAGUAGUAAGGUGGUGGUGGUGAGGGUGAUGGAGGUGGUGGAGACUUGUAGUAGUAUGGGGGUUGUUCUUCAUGCUUUGGUGGUGGUGGUGGAGAUUUGUAGUAGUAUGGAGGAGGUGGUGAUGGAGACGGAGGUGGUGGGGACUUGUAGUAGUAAGGAGGAGGUGGUGAUGGAGAUGGAGGAGGAGGUGACUUGUAGUAGUAUGGUGGUUGUUCUUCAUGCUUUGGUGGUGGUGGUGGGGACUUGUAGUAGUAUGGAGGUGGUGGUGAUGGUGAUGGAGGUGGUGGAGAUUUAUACUCAUAAGGAGGUGGAGGAGAAGGCGAUGGAGGUGGUGGAGACUUGUAUUCAUAAGGCUUCUCCUUCGGUGGUGGUGGUGGAGACUUGUACUCAUAAGGCUUCUCCUUCGGUGGUGGUGGUGGAGACUUGUAUUCAUAAGGCUUCUCCUCAUGCUUUGGUGGAGGUGGUGGAGACUUGUACACGUAAGGAGGUGGUGGAGAAG